CUUUGUUGCCAGCGAUUAGGUCGGGAACUCAAAGGAGACUGCCAGUGAUAAACUGGAGGAAGGUGGGGAUGACGUCAAGUCAUCAUGGCCCUUACGACCAGGGCUACACACGUGCUACAAUGGCGCAUACAAAGAGAAGCGACCUCGCGAGAGCAAGCGGACCUCAUAAAGUGCGUCGUAGUCCGGAUUGGAGUCUGCAACUCGACUCCAUGAAGUCGGAAUCGCUAGUAAUCGUGGAUCAGAAUGCCACGGUGAAUACGUUCCCGGGCCUUGUACACACCGCCCGUCACACCAUGGGAGUGGGUUGCAAAAGAAGUAGGUAGCUUAACCUUCGGGAGGGCGCUUACCACUUUGUGAUUCAUGACUGGGGUGAAGUCGUAACAAGGUAACCGUAGGGGAACCUGC
rnacentral:rRNA from 4 species